GGGGCCUUAGCUCAGUUGGUAGAGCGCCUGCUUUGCAAGCAGGAUGUCAGGAGUUCGAUUCUCCUAGGCUCCA
rfam:Curtobacterium luteum strain NS184 contig_22, whole genome shotgun sequence.